UGUAAUCCUAGGAAUCAGAGCAGUGCCAUUAUACAUAUAUAACCAAGUUUACCCCAUCUCAGGAAGAAGUUUGUGAAGAAAACUUUGAGAAGCAAUGCCAAAUAACCUUUAAACAACAGGCGAUUAAUGAAACUGUACAGAAGUGCUACAAACCAAUAGUUAAGGUGUGUAACGGUGAUGGUGAGGAGAUAUGUCAGACUGUUUACGAAUCCUCAUGCAGUACAAAGUAUAUAGAGAAGCAGCCUGGUAAGUUUGUAGGCGAUACAAACUGCGAGAAGCUUCCUGUUCAAGUUUGUGGAGCUGGAUGUACUUUCCAGGAGGGACCUCAGGAGUGCCAUGAUAAGGUUCUUGUGUCUCUCCUUGAUGUCCCUGAAGAAGUGUGUGAUUUAAACCCACAAAAAACUUGCCGAUUACAGACAAAGCUUGUACCGAAACUAACACCUGAACACCAAUGCACAAGGGUACCUAGAGAAAUAUGCACUUUAAGAUUUACUACUCCUCAACAA